UACGGGGGGAGCAAGCGUUGUUCGGAUUUACUGGGCGUAAAGGGCGGGUAGGCGGCCACCGCAAGUCAGUUGUGAAAUCUCCGGGCUUAACCCGGAAAGGUCAACUGAUACUGCGGGGCUAGAGUGCAGAAGGGGCAACUGGAAUUCUCGGUGUAGCGGUGAAAUGCGUAGAUAUCGAGAGGAACACCUGCGGCGAAGGCGGGUUGCUGGGCUGACACUGACGCUGAACUGCGAAAGCUAGGGGAGCGAGCGGG
rnacentral:rRNA from 1 species